rnacentral:rRNA from 1 species
UGCAGGUGGUUUGUUAAGUCAGAUGUGAAAGCCCGGGGCUCAACCUCGGAAUAGCAUUUGAAACUGGCAGACUAGAGUACUGUAGAGGGGGGUAGAAUUUCAGGUGUAGCGGUGAAAUGCGUAGAGAUCUGAAGGAAUACCGGUGGCGAAGGCGGCCCCCUGGACAGAUACUGACACUCAGAUGCGAAAGCGUGGGGAGCAAACAGGAUUAGAUACCCUGGUAGUCCACGCCGUAAACGAUGUCUACUUGGAGGUUGUGGCCUUGAGCCGUGGCUUUCGGAGCUAACGCGUUAAGUAGACCGCCAGGGGAGUACGGUCGCAAGAUUAAAACUCAAAUGAAUUGACGGGGGCCCGCACAAGCGGUGGAGCAUGUGGUUUAAUUCGAUGCAACGCGAAGAACCUUACCUACUCUUGACAUCCAGAGAACUUUCCAGAGAUGGAUUGGUGCCUUCGGGAACUCUGAGACAGGUGCUGCAUGGC